GGGUCUGAGGGAGGAGGGCUGGGUCUGAAGAGUUGGUUCUCACCCUCACCCUUCCUCCUUCCAG
ensembl:miRNA Mir7047 microRNA 7047